rnacentral:rRNA from 1 species
GUGUCAGCCGCCGCGGUAAGACGAGGGCCCCAAGCGUUAAUCGGAAUCACUGGGCUUAAAGGGUGCGUAGGCGGACUCGCAAGCGUCUUGUGAAAUCCCUCGGCUCAACCGGGGAAUUGCUGGGCGAACUGCGAGUCUUGAGGGAGCUAGAGGAUGUCGGAACGUUCGGUGGAGCGGUGAAAUGCGUAGAGAUCGAACGGAACGCCGAAGGCGAAGGCAGGCAUCUGGGGCUCUCCUGACGCUCAGGCACGAAAGCGUGGGGAUCAAACAGGAUUAGAAACCCCAGUAGUCC